rnacentral:rRNA from 1 species
UACGGAGGUGGCAAGCGUUGCUCGGAUUCACUGGGUGUAAAGGGCGUGUAGGCGGUUCUGCAAGCCCUGCCUGAAAUCCGUCGGCUCAACCGACGGCUGCGGCAGGGGACUGCUGGACUUGAGGACGGAAGAGGUGAGCGGAAUUCCCGGUGUAAGGGUGAAAUCUGUAGAUAUCGGGAGGAACACCAGUGGCGAAAGCGGCUCACUAGUCCGUUUCUGACGCUGAGAUGCGAAAGCUAGGGGAGCGAACAGG